AUUGAACGCUGGCGGGAGGCCUUACACAUGCAAGUCGAACGAGUGGCGGACGGGUGAGUAAUAUCUGGGAAAGUGCCUAGUAGCGGGGGAUAAAUACUGGAAACGGUGGCUAAUACCGCAUACUAUGGGAUGGGCCGCGAUGGGAUUAGCUAGUUGGUGGGGUAAAGGCUCACCUAGGCAACGAUCCAUAGCUGGGUGGAGAGGAUGACCAGCCACACUGGACCUGAGACACGGGCCAGACUCCUACGGGAGGCAGCAGUGGGGAAGAUUGGACAAUGGGCGAAAGCCUGAUGCAGCCAUGCCGCGUGUAUGAAGAAGGCCUUCGGGUUGUAAAGUACUUUCAGCGGGGAAGCGUUACCCGCAGAAGAAGCACCGGCUAACUCCGUGCCAGCAGCCGCGGUAAUUC
rnacentral:rRNA from 1 species